rnacentral:rRNA from 1 species
AACGUAGGGGGCAAGCGUUAUCCGGAUUCACUGGGCGUAAAGGGCGUGCAGGCGGUUCGGUAAGUUGGGCGUGAAAUCUCCUGGCUCAACCUGGAGAGGUCGUCCAAUACUACCGGGCUAGAGAGCAGUAGAGGAAGAUGGAAUUCCCGGUGUAGUGGUGAAAUGCGUAGAUAUCGGGAGGAACACCAGUAGAGAAGGCGGUCUUCUGGACUGUUUCUGACGCUCAGACGCGAAAGCUAGGGGAGUAAACGGG